GAUAGCUCAGUUGGUUAGAGACUGGUGCUGAUAACACCAAGGUCGCAGGUUCAAUCCCCACAAAGCCCCUGCCAAUACCU